rnacentral:rRNA from 1 species
AGGACGAACGCUGGCGGCGUGCUUAACACAUGCAAGUCGAGCGGAAAGGCCCUUCGGGGUACUCGAGCGGCGAACGGGUGAGUAACACGUGAGUAACCUGCCCUCCACUCUGGGAUAAGCCCGGGAAACUGGGUCUAAUACCGGAUAUGACUGCGGAUCUCAUGGUCUGUGGUGGUAAAGUUUUUUCGGUGGGGGAUGGACUCGCGGCCUAUCAGCUUGUGGUGAGGUAAUGGCUUACCAAGGCGACGACGGUA